GAUGCAACGCGAAAAACCUUACCCACCUUUGACAUGUACGGAAGUCGCUAGAGAUGGCUUCGUGCUCGAAAGAGAGCCGUAACACAGGUGCUGCAUGGCUGUCGUCAGCUCGUGUCGUGAGAUGUUGGGUUAAGUCCCGCAACGAGCGCAACCCUUGUCAUUAGUUGCUACAUUCAGUUGGGCACUCUAAUGAGACUGCCGGUGACAAACCGGAGGAAGGUGGGGAUGACGUCAAGUCCUCAUGGCCCUUAUAGGUGGGGCUACACACGUCAUACAAUGGCUGGUACAAAGGGUUGCCAACCCGCGAGGGGGAGCUAAUCCCAUAAAGCCAGUCGUAGUCCGGAUCGCAGUCUGCAACUCGACUGCGUGAAGUCGGAAUCGCUAGUAAUCGUGGAUCAGAAUGUCACGGUGAAUACGUUCCCGGGUCUUGUACACACCGCCCGUCACACCAUGGGAGCGGGUUCUGCCAGAAGUAGUUAGCCUAACCGCAAGGAGGGCGAUUACCACGGCAGGGUUCGUGACUGGGGUGAAGUCGUAACAAGGUAACCG
rnacentral:rRNA from 1 species